rnacentral:rRNA from 1 species
AACGAACGCUGGCGGCAUGCCUAACACGUGCAAGUCGAACGAGACCUUCGGGUCUAGUGGCGCACGGGUGCGUAACGCGUGGGAACCUGCCCUUAGGUUCGGAAUAACUCCCCGAAAGGGGUGCUAAUACCGGAUAAUGUCUUCGGACCAAAGAUUUAUCGCCUUUGGAUGGGCCCGCGUUGGAUUAGCUAGUUGGUAGGGUAAAAGCCUACCAAGGCGACGAUCCAUAGCUGGUCUGAGAGGAUGAUCAGCCACACUGGGACUGAGACACGGCCCAGACUCCUACGGGAGGCAGCUGUGGGGAAUAUUGGACAAUGGGCGAAAGCCUGAUCCAGCAAUGCCGCGUGAGUGAUGAAGGCCUUAGGGUUGUAAAGCUCUUUUACCCGGGAUGAUAAUGACAGUACCGGGAGAAUAAGCCCCGGCUAACUCCGUG